AAAAGUCCAAUUCUCCAACGCAGGGGAAUCCAACAUCUGGGAUAAGAGUCAAAAUUCUGGUGGAGGGGGAAGACUCUGGAUCUUCUACCAACAUACGCAAACUGUGCACUGAAGUCAAGUGCUGAUGACGUGAGUUGAGUCCAGGGGAUGCAGGCCAAGGAUUGUCGGUCACAGCUGCAAACUUCCCCUUCAUAUCCUUGAGCUGAUUAGUCCCCAGAUCAACCAAUAAAGUCAAGUCAUAUGCUUUGUUCA
rnacentral:lncRNA from 12 species